GACGGAGGGAGCAAGCGUUGUCCGGAAUCACUGGGCGUAAAGAGCUCGUAGGCGGGAAUUUAAGUCUGGGGGUAAAUUCAACGGCUCAACCGUUGAGUCAUCUCAGAAACUGGAUUUCUUGAGGGCAGGAGAGGAAAGGGGAAUUCCAGGUGUAGCGGUGAAAUGCGUAGAUAUCUGGAGGAACACCGGUGGCGAAGGCGCCUUUCUGGUCUGCUCCUGACGCUGAGGAGCGAAAGCCAGGGGAGCGAACGGG
rnacentral:rRNA from 1 species